rnacentral:rRNA from 1 species
AGUGACGAUAGCCUAGGAGAUACACCUGUUCCCAUGCCGAACACAGAAGUUAAGCCCUAGCACGCCUGAUGUAGUUGGGGGUUGCCCCCUGUUAGAUAUGGUAGUCGCUUAGC